GCAUGUUCACAUGAUUAAAGGUAUUCCGGUAGACGAUGGGGAUGCGUUCCAUUAGAUAGUAGGCGGGGUAACGGCCCACCUAGUCUUCGAUGGAUAGGGGUUCUGAGAGGAAGGUCCCCCACAUUGGAACUGAGACACGGUCCAAACUCCUACGGGAGGCAGCAGUGAGGAAUAUUGGUCAAUGGGCGAGAGCCUGAACCAGCCAAGUAGCGUGAAGGAUGACUGCCCUAUGGGUUGUAAACUUCUUUUAUAAAGGAAUAAAGUCGGGUAUGCAUACCCGUUUGCAUGUACUUUAUGAAUAAGGAUCGGCUAACUCCGUGCCAGCAGCCGCGGUAAUACGGAGGAUCCGAGCGUUAUCCGGAUUUAUUGGGUUUAAAGGGAGCGUAGAUGGAUGUUUAAGUCAGUUGUGAAAGUUUGCGGCUCAACCGUAAAAUUGCAGUUGAUACUGGAUAUCUUGAGUGCAGUUGAGGCAGGCGGAAUUCGUGGUGUAGCGGUGAAAUGCUUAGAUAUCACGAAGAACUCCGAUUGCGAAGGCAGCCUGCUAAGCUGCAACUGACAAUGGGGCUCGAAAGUGUGGGUAUCAAACAGGAUUAGAUACCCUGGUAGUCCACACGGUAAACGAUGAAUACUCGCUGUUUGCGAUAUACGGCAAGCGGCC
rnacentral:rRNA from 1 species